GAACGCACAUUGCGCCCAUUAGUAUUCUAGUGGGCAUGCCUGUUCGAGCGCCAUUUCAACCCUUAAGCUUAGCUUAGUAUUGGGAAUCUGCUUAACCGCAGCUCCUUAAAUCUAGUUGGCAGAGCACAGCUGUACUCUGAGCGUAGUAAUUCAUUAUCUCACUUCUGGAAGACAGCCGUACGAUCGCCACAAACCUAUUUAUUUUUUAAUGGUUGACCUCGGAUCAGGUAGGAAUACCCACUGAACUUAAG
rnacentral:misc_RNA from 1 species